AUGAAACAAGCUGUCGAAGCAGUGUUCGAUAAGAGUAGGCACAGAUUAUGUAUGUGGCACAUAAUGAAGAAACUUGCUGAUAAGGUUAGGCUCAAUUACAACAUGCGUGGGACAUGAGUUGUGUAACAACGAAGAGUUCAAGAGACGUAUGUGUGACAUUGUAUGGACAGAUUCGAUUGCGCCAGAAACGUUUGAGAUAGAAUGGAAGCUGAUAAUGAUUGAAUUCGGUCUAACUGAGAAUAAAUGGAUUGAUGAUAUGUUUG
rnacentral:lncRNA from 1 species